rnacentral:rRNA from 1 species
UACGGAGGAUCCGAGCGUUAUCCGGAUUUAUUGGGUUUAAAGGGUGCGCAGGCGGGAGAUUAAGUCGGCGGUGAAAUUUUGCAGCUCAACUGUAAAAGUGCCUUCGAAACUGGUUUCCUUGAGUGUGGAUGAAGUAGGCGGAAUUUGUGGUGUAGCGGUGAAAUGCAUAGAUAUCACGAGGAACUCCGAUUGCGCAGGCAGCUUACUAAACCAUAACUGACGCUCAGGCACGAAGGCGUGGGGAUCAAACAGGAUUAGAUACCCCCGUA